GUUAAUUAAGUGCUGACUAUGAUUUGUAAAAAGAAAAAAAACAAGACAGAAAUUUCACUUAUCUUGCGUGCUAACGAAGAUGCGUGGCUGGUAAUUAUAAGUAUUACUUAUACGCAUACCACAUCGACAGAAAUAUUAUUUAAGCGUAUAUUGAUAUCUCUAUUAAAACUUCAGUAUUAAUCUCUUAAUUUAUAUUGCGUAGUUAUAUACUUAAUAAUGACGAUUUUAAUACACUAAUAUUUUGUAUGAGAAUAUUGCAGAAUAUAGUUUCCCCGUAAAACUAAUCACAAUUUGAAUGCUAACUGGGUUACUGUAUCGUCAAUUAUGUGUAGCUAUGCCAAAUCAACCUGAUGUUCCCCUCAAUAAAUGUUAACAUUUUGUUUUUCACAGGUUCAACCGCUUCUGCCGGUUACCUGAAUUCGUCGGGUAAAAGUUCAAGUUAUUUAGUACAUACAAAACGCUCGUACUAAAUUUACAAUUUCAAGAAAUAUCUGUGCAUAAAACCUUUCAGCAGAGCAAAAUGCUUUUCGAAAGCAAAACUGGAACAUAAUAAGAAUUUUUGUUGCGUGCUGUGGCAGGCAUUUAAGAUGUAUGCUUAUACAUAACAUUAAAGUACUACUACAUAAAUAACCAGAAUUAUUUUAAGAGAAACAAUUUAAGAAAUACAGACCAACCUAAUCCAACCCCAUGAAAGAAAGAUUUACGAUUUACAUAAACUGCACUACGUACAUUACAUAGAGCAAUCCAAAAGAAUAAAACGUAUAAACGCACUUCAUUAAGGAUGAAUUUCGAUAUUCAUAAUUUCAAUAUAUGAACCUGAAUAUUUAUAUACUAAUAACUAAAAUAAUCCAUAUUCUGGUAUGUACUCAUUCAUAUGUAGUGUACAACAAUAAUGUAGAUCACUUAUUAGAUGAUGAUACUUAAUAUCGGAUAAUUAGUAGCACAUACACAUAGCAGCGUGUUUACAUUUUGGCAUAAAACGUAAAAGAUAAUGAAACAUCAAACAAUACGAUGCAAAGAAAACACAAAAAUAAUUUGAAGAUUUCCAGCGCAACACGGAUCAAAAAUUCAGGCUGCAAUAGGAAACUCACCAACAUUCAAUUACAGACUUUGAUUAAAAAUAAAACUUUAUAUAAAUUAUCAGCACAGCUGGAAGAGCGCUUUAAAACUAGCAUGCAAUUCUAAAUUAAUGGCAAUUGCAAUUGCUGUUUGUUAUACUUUCUUUUGCAGAAAGAAAAAUGAAGGAUUUUGUUUUAUUUAAUUUUGCUUUGUUUUUUACUUUUUACGUAGAACAAGAAAGGUGAACAAUUUCUUUAACAUCCAUGACGAACGAAAAUUAAGUAAAAAAAGAUAUUUUGACGCUUAAUUUCAAGAACAGCUGAGUGUGUAUUUUCCCUUUGGAUUAAAACUUGCAAUAACAAAAACAAAAAACAUUGCUCUUAGACGUUGCAAAAUUAAACAAAAACAAAAUAUUUCAAACAAGUAAAAGAUAAAACCAUUUUAUACUAUAACGAUCAUUAAAUAUGUGUGUUACAAUUUAUAUUGUAUUUAAUAGUAAUAUGUAUGUAUACAUUUAUAAUACCUUUAAUUAAAAUCUGAAUUACAAAUAAAGUAUACUAUGCAGUACAUUUCUAUGGUA
rnacentral:lncRNA from 1 species